GGGACUGUUCUGGUUUUGACAGCAGGCAGAAAAGGUAUGUAAGCACGCAGUGAGUUGUCGAAUAUCACUUUAAUCAUAGACGGCGAAUUAUAACUGGCGAAACAGAAUACGCUCUCGCUGCCUGAACGAAUUAAUAGUAAUUCAGGCUCAAUUACGGCACAGGUGUCGUAACGGGACAUCUCUCAAAUGCCUUGCUCUGAGGCGGUUUGGUAAAGAGGUGUAGGGAAUUUCAGGGAUAGAAAUUUUUUGCUGCAAAAAAAUUUUGAAAAUUCAGCAGAUAAGGUGUAAAUUGGUGGUUUCGGUCUUGUUUACACACGAAAAUUUAAGCGGAAAUAAGCGUGUAGAAAGCAUAUUGUUUCCCUGUUUGGACACGGGUUCGACUCCCGUCAGUUCCACAA
rnacentral:tmRNA from 1 species